rnacentral:rRNA from 1 species
UACGGAGGGUGCGAGCGUUAAUCGGAAUUACUGGGCGUAAAGGGUGCGUAGGUGGUGAGAUAAGUUAUCUGUGAAAGCCCUGGGCUCAACCUGGGAAGGUCAGAUAAGACUGUUUUACUUGAGUAUGGGAGAGGGUAGUGGAAUUUCCGGUGUAGCGGUGAAAUGCGUAGAGAUCGGAAGGAACACCAGUGGCGAAGGCGGCUACCUGGCCCGAUACUGACGCUGAGGCACGAAAGUGUGGGGAGCAAACAGG